AUUGAACGCUGGCGGCAGGCCUAACACAUGCAAGUCGAGCGAGCGGCGGACGGGUGAGUAAUGUCUGGGAAACUGCCUGAUGGGGGGGGAUAACUACUGGAAACGGUAGCUAAUACAGAAUACCAUCAGAUGUGCCCAGAUGGGAUUAGCUAGUAGGUGGGGUAACGGCUCACCUAGGCGACGAUCCCUAGCUGGUCUGAGAGGAUGAACAGCCACACUGGAACUGAUACACGGUCCAGACUCCUACGGGAGGCAGCAGUGGGGAAUAUUGCACAAUGGGCGCAAGCCUGAUGCAGCAAGGCCGCGUGUAUGAAGAAGGCCUUCGGGUUGUAAAGUACUGUCAGCGGGGAGGCGUUACCCGCAGAAGAAGCACCGGCUAACUCCGUGCCAGCAGCCGCGGUAAUAC
rnacentral:rRNA from 1 species